AACGAACGCUGGCGGCAUGCCUAACACAUGCAAGUCGAACGAGCUCUUCGGGUCUAGUGGCGCACGGGUGCGUAACGCGUGGGAAUCUGCCCUUUGGUUCGGAAUAACAGUCGGAAACGACUGCUAAUACCGGAUGAUGACGAAAGUCCAAAGAUUUAUCGCCAGAGGAUGAGCCCGCGUAGGAUUAGCUAGUUGGUGUGGUAAAGGCGCACCAAGGCGACGAUCCUUAGCUGGUCUGAGAGGAUGAUCAGCCACACUGGGACUGAGACACGGCCCAGACUCCUACGGGAGGCAGCAGUGGGGAAUAUUGGACAAUGGGCGAAAGCCUGAUCCAGCAAUGCCGCGUGAGUGAUGAAGGCCUUAGGGUUGUAAAGCUCUUUUACCCGGGAUGAUAAUGACAGUACCGGGAGAAUAAGCUCCGGCUAACUCCGUGCCAGCCGCCGCGGUAA
rnacentral:rRNA from 1 species